rnacentral:misc_RNA from 1 species
GAAAUGCGAUAAGUAAUGUGAAUUGCAGAAUUCAGUGAAUCAUCGAAUCUUUGAACGCACAUUGCGCCCGCCAGUAUUCUGGCGGGCAUGCCUGUCCGAGCGUCAUUUCAACCAUCAAGCCCCCGGGCUUGUGUUGGGGACCUGCGGCUGCCCGCAGGCCCUGAAAACCAGUGGCGGGCUCGCUGUCACACCGAGCGUAGUAGCAAUCACCUCGCUCAGGGCGUGCUGCGGGUUCCGGCCGUUAAACAGCCUUACAAAACCCAAGGUUGACCUCGGAUCAGGUAGGAGGACCCGCUGAACUUAAGC